GUCUAUGGCCAUGCUACCCUAAACUGCCCAAUCUCAUCUGGUCUCAGAAGCUAAGCAGGGUUGGGCCUGAUUAGUACUUGGAUAGGAAACAAAUCUUCAAAAGAGACUGCUCAGAGACA
ensembl:rRNA 5S_rRNA 5S ribosomal RNA